CAGAAGACCGCGUUCCCAGAACUGCUGUCCUAGAGCUUAUGAAGAUUCUUUUAUCAAGUCCCUUGGUGGGCUUCUGUUCUCAGCAUGGAUGACAAGCGCAUAUUCCAAGAAUAUUCUUAUUCUCCUGAAGCUGCUUUUAUGUCAGCAAGAUGUUGAGGCUUUUUGAUGGACGACAUGUCAGAGAGGAGAUGAGGAGUAAAUUCGAAGUAAGGAUGAGAAGUCUGUUGGGAGCCACACAUAAUGACAGCGGCAAGAGUGGGCAGAGGGAGAAAAGAGAAAAAUGUACAAAGCAAUUGGAAAUCUAUUGCAUGCCCAGUGCAUCCCACAGUGCCCAAAAUGAUGACUCUGAGCCACCUGCCAGUGUCUGACAUACGGUGGUCCAAUAUCCCAAUAUGAGAUGACAAUUUUCACAGAAUAGCAGA